UACGGAGGGUGCAAGCGUUAAUCGGAAUUAUUGGGCGUAAAGCGCGCGUAGGCGGCUCGGUCAGUCGGGUGUGAAAUCCCUGGGCUCAACCUGGGAACUGCAUUUGUGACUGCAUGGCUAGAGUACGGUAGAGGGGGGAUGGAAUUCCGCGUGUAGCAGUGAAAUGCGCAGAUAUCAGGAGGAACACCGAUGGCGAAGGCAGCUCGCUGGGACGGUACUGACGCUGAGGCGCGAAAGCGUGGGGAGCAAACAGG
rnacentral:rRNA from 1 species